UCUGAAAAUAAUUUUACAUCGGGGAUUACAGGGCGUCAUGUCGGUGGGGUGGAUAAAUAAGACAUGGACCAUCUAUGGCUCCAACAUAGAUUUCAUACGGUCGUAAGAAAAAAAUCACGUUAUCACUUUAUUAUUAUCAACGUUAUCGUCAUAAUCCUAAUCUUUGUUUUUAUCUGGAGUAGCUGUACUAGCUAGCGAGUUAUGUUCCGCACGGAAGAGGCAAGAUCGAACUGUCAAAGCGAAAAGGGAACGAAAGAAGCGGAUGGAAAAAAAGUAAAGAAAAGGAAGAUAGGUAAGAGCGUGAGAAAAAGGGCAGUUCAACAUGUUCGUAUGAUCAGAUUUGUGAUUAAAACAAGAUAUCGUAACUCUUUUCCUUCUUUCUUAUAAAUUUUCUAUCAUAUACUUUUCUAAAAUGCUUAAAUUGCGUUCUUUAAGACAGAUAUCGUCUUAUUAACGGAAAGAAAGAAAGAAAGAAAGACGUAAGAAAUAAUGAGAAAAAGCGGGAUACCUCGAAUCGGAAAAGGUUUCGUCUGUUUCGACGUCGGUGGCGUGUAGUGCAUCUCAUUUUUCGGAUCGGUCAUCCUAGAUUUCCAAUGUUUCCUAUGUCACAAAACGUAAAUGCUUUUCGAACAAAGGGACUAUACUACUCUCGGCUCAUCCGUCCGGCUACGCGGUACAGAACGAUGUGGAAUAGAAACAGAAAACACGGGUAGAUAGACAACGAGAAAGAGGCAGAGAGAGAGAGAGAGAGAGAGAAAA